UACGAAGGGGGCGAGCGUUGUUCGGAUUUACUGGGCGUAAAGGGCGCGCAGGCGGCAGAUCAAGUCAGACGUGAAAGCCCCGGGCUUAACCUGGGAACUGCGUUUGGGACUGGUUUGCUAGAGAUCGGGAGAGGAGAGUGGAAUUCCCGGUGUAGCGGUGAAAUGCGCAGAUAUCGGGAGGAACACCGGUGGCGAAGGCGGUUCUCUGGGCCUGUACUGACGCUGAGGAGCGAAAGCGUGGGGAGCGAACAGG
rnacentral:rRNA from 1 species